rnacentral:rRNA from 1 species
UACGGGGGGGGCAAGCGUUGUUCGGAAUUACUGGGCGUAAAGGCUCGUAGGCGGCCAACUAAGUCAGACGUGAAAUCCCUCGGCUUAACCGGGGAACUGCGUCUGAUACUGGUUGGCUUGAAUCCGGGAGAGGGAUGUGGAAUUCCAGGUGUAGCGGUGAAAUGCGUAGAUAUCUGGAGGAACACCGGUGGCGAAGGCGACAUACUGGUCCGUUACUGACGCUGAGGCUCGAAAGCGUGGGAGCAAACAGG